rnacentral:lncRNA from 1 species
GAGGGAGAGGGAGAGGGAGAAUCUUAAGCAGGCUCCAUGCUCAGUUAAGAGCUGGAUGCGGGGCUCGAUCUCAUGACCCUGAGAUCAUGGCCUGACCCAAAAUCAAGACCCACCCCAUAAAGUGAUGUUUCCAGUCUCAUCUCCAGUCACUUUGCUCUCCUUGCCUUCUUCUCACGCCACGUUGGCCACAUAAGCUGCUCGUCUUCCUCCCAUCCCUCAACUCAUCACUUUUUCAGGAAUGCCCGCCCUUCCUUUCCUUUGGUUGGAACACCUUCACCUUAUCCUUCAAGACCUGACAAAAAUGUCAGGAGAAGUUUUUUUAAGUUUCCUCUUACAGUUAUUUGGUCCUCAGUGCAACUCAUAACACUUCGUGUGUCAUCUCUAGUGAAGCACUGAUUAUAUAUUAUACUGAGAUGGCUUUUACAUUUGUCUCUCUCACUGGACUCUGGGCUCCCAGUUGGCAGAAUCUGAGUCUUAUUCAUCUUUGUAUCCUGGGCCCCCAGAAUAGCGCCUGGCACCCUAUUACGGUCUGUGGCAGAGGUUGGUGGAUUCAUAGUGCCUGUUAGAAUGUCUUUGGCAGCCUUAGAACAGCAUCCCCGAAAGAAGAAAAGCAAAAUAGUCCAGCCCUGAGUGCCCAGCUCUUUCCUUGUAAUUACCACUCUGUGCAGGCCCAGAUCAUGAUCAGUCUUAGCCUUAGCCAUAAACCUGUAGAAAGCUCCAGCUGCAAAAACCUAUAGCUGUCACUCAGUAUGAGUCCUUCACAUUACAGACCAGGAAAUCAGCAUGGAUCCUUUCCUCUUCCAGGUUCAGCAACACUCUUUUCAGCUUUCUCCACAUUCUGGUCCUUGAUUCCUUUUCUAUGGAUCUCGACUCGUCUACACUCUUCCUACAUUGUUGGAAUAAGUUGCUCAUUUACAAAAGACUCAACUAAUAAGAAGAAAAAAGAGAGACGACCAUUUAUGGAGUGCUUGCUACGUGCCCGGCGUCUCACAGCCUUCCCCUGAACAUUGUUGCGUUCCCAUUUUACAGAGGAGAAAUCCAAGGCUCCGAGAGGGUAGGUCUCUACUAAAGUCCCUGUCUGGUGAUUGGUGGAAUUGGCGUUUGGACGCGGAUCUCUGAUUCCAAAGCCCCUGCUCUACCCAGCCCAUGUUACUGCCUCCAGACCCAGCUCCAUUUGCUUGGCUUUAAUGAGGACCCGAUAGAUAAACAAUCUCACAGUUUUCUUGGGCUAUUGAGAUGCCGUGAACAUGUUCUUGUCUUUGGAGUGACCCUACGGCUGCUAUUCUAGGUGCAGAUGCUAGGAACUCUCUGUGCACAUGUCAGUUAUUUCCAGAUGCUGAGUGUGAA